UUGUGGUGGACCCGAUGGUCUCUCACCCAAUUAAAUAUGUUGUUCUAAAAUAAGUGAAGUACAUAGUAACAAGCAUCAAUGAUGAUGCAAUUUAUUAGGGUUCCGUAUCUCAAAAUGAAAAAAGGUGGUUCAAGCUUUUUCAGACGCGCGCACCGAGGGUUCCGUACUACAGAAGUAAAACGGUAGGAAUUACUUUUGUUAAUGAACUGCAAAACUACUUUGUAGAGGUUUGUU